UGAAGCUCAAGCUUGCUUGGGUGGAUCAGUGGCGAACGGGUGAGUAACACGUGAGCAACCUGCCCCAGACUCUGGAAUAAGCGCUGGAAACGGCGUCUAAUACUGGAUACGAGGAGGGUCCGCAUGGGCACUUCCUGGAAAGUUUUUCGGUUUGGGAUGGGCUCGCGGCCUAUCAGCUUGUUGGUGAGGUAAUGGCUCACCAAGGCGACGACGGGUAGCCGGCCUGAGAGGGCGACCGGCCACACUGGGACUGAGACACGGCCCAGACUCCUACGGGAGGCAGCAGUGGGGAAUAUUGCACAAUGGGCGAAAGCCUGAUGCAGCGACGCCGCGUGAGGGAUGACGGCCUUCGGGUUGUAAACCUCUUUCAGCAGGGAAGAAGCGAAAGUGACGGUACCUGCAGAAGAAGCACCGGCUAACUACGUGCCAGCAGCCGCGGUAAUACGUAGGGUGCGAGCGUUGUCCGGAAUUAUUGGGCGUAAAGAGCUUGUAGGCGGUUUGUCGCGUCUGCUGUGAAAAUCCGGGGCUCAACCCCGGACUUGCAGUGGGUACGGGCAGACUAGAGUGUGGUAGGGGAGACUGGAAUUCCUGGUGUAGCGGUGAAAUGCGCAGAUAUCAGGAGGAACACCGAUGGCGAAGGCAGGUCUCUGGGCCACUACUGACGCUGAGAAGCGAAAGCAUGGGGAGCGAACAGGAUUAGAUACCCUGGUAGUCCAUGCCGUAAACGUUGGGCGCUAGGUGUGGGACUC
rnacentral:rRNA from 1 species